AGAGUUUGAUCAUGGCUCGGGAUGAACGCUAGCGGCAGGCUUAACACAUGCAAGUCGAGGGGUAUAGGUUUUCGGACCUAGAGACCGGCGCACGGGUGCGUAACGCGUAUGCAAUCUACCUUUUACAGAGGGAUAGCCCAGAGAAAUUUGGAUUAAUACCUCAUAGUAUAGCUGAACCGCAUGGUUCUACUAUUAAAGUCACAACGGUAAAAGAUGAGCAUGCGUCCCAUUAGCUUGUUGGUAAGGUAACGGCUUACCAAGGCUACGAUGGGUAGGGGUCCUGAGAGGGAGAUCCCCCACACUGGUACUGAGACACGGACCAGACUCCUACGGGAGGCAGCAGUGAGGAAUAUUGGUCAAUGGACGCAAGUCUGAACCAGCCAUGCCGCGUGCAGGAUGACGGUCCUAUGGAUUGUAAACUGCUUUUGCACAGGAAGAAACAACUCUACGUGUAGAGUCUUGACGGUACUGUGAGAAUAAGGAUCGGCUAACUCCGUGCCAGCAGCCGCGGUAAUACGGAGGAUCCAAGCGUUAUCCGGAAUCAUUGGGUUUAAAGGGUCCGUAGGCGGUUUAGUAAGUCAGUGGUGAAAGCCCAUCGCUCAACGGUGGAACGGCCAUUGAUACUGCUAGACUUGAAUUAUUAGGAAGUAACUAGAAUAUGUAGUGUAGCGGUGAAAUGCUUAGAGAUUACAUGGAAUACCAAUUGCGAAGGCAGGUUACUACUAAUGGAUUGACGCUGAUGGACGAAAGCGUGGGUAGCGAACAGGAUUAGAUACCCUGGUAGUCCACGCCGUAAACGAUGGAUACUAGCUGUUGGAAGCAAUUUCAGUGGCUAAGCGAAAGUGAUAAGUAUCCCACCUGGGGAGUACGUUCGCAAGAAUGAAACUCAAAGGAAUUGACGGGGGCCCGCACAAGCGGUGGAGCAUGUGGUUCAAUUCGAUGAUACGCGAGGAACCUUACCAAGGCUUAAAUGUAGAUUGACCGGUUUGGAAACAGACUUUUCGCAAGACAAUUUACAAGGUGCUGCAUGGUUGUCGUCAGCUCGUGCCGUGAGGUGUCAGGUUAAGUCCUAUAACGAGCGCAACCCCUGUUGUUAGUUGCCAGCGAGUCAUGUCGGGAACUCUAACAAGACUGCCAGUGUAAACUGUGAGGAAGGUGGGGAUGACGUCAAAUCAUCACGGCCCUUACGCCUUGGGCUACACACGUGCUACAAUGGCCGGUACAGAGAGCAGCCACUGGGCGACCAGGAGCGAAUCUAUAAAACCGGUCACAGUUCGGAUCGGAGUCUGCAACUCGACUCCGUGAAGCUGGAAUCGCUAGUAAUCGGAUAUCAGCCAUGAUCCGGUGAAUACGUUCCCGGGCCUUGUACACACCGCCCGUCAAGCCAUGGAAGCUGGGGGUGCCUGAAGUCGGUGACCGCAAGGAGCUGCCUAGGGUAAAACUGGUAACUAGGGCUAAGUCGUAACAAGGUA
rnacentral:rRNA from 1 species